rnacentral:rRNA from 1 species
AGCGUUUGAUCAUGGCUCAGGAUGAACGCUAGCGGCAGGCCUAACACAUGCAAGUCGAGGGGCAGCACGGUGUAGCAAUACACUGGUGGCGACCGGCGCACGGGUGCGUAACGCGUAUGCAACCUACCCAUAACAGGGGGAUAACACUGAGAAAUUGGUACUAAUACCCCAUAACAUCAGGACCGGCAUCGGUUCUGGUUGAAAACUCCGGUGGUUAUGGAUGGGCAUGCGUUGUAUUAG